UACAGAGGGUGCGAGCGUUGUUCGGAAUUACUGGGCGUAAAGCGCGCGCAGGCGGCCUUUUAAGUCUGACGGUGAAAUGCCGGGGCUCAACCCCGUGCCCGCCGCGGAUACUGGGAGGCUGGAGACGAGUAGAGGCAAGCGGAAUUCCGGGUGUAGCGGUGGAAUGCGUAGAGAUCCGGAAGAACACCGGAGGCGAAGGCGGCUUGCUGGGCUCGGUCUGACGCUGAGGCGCGAAAGCUAGGGGAGCGAACGGG
rnacentral:rRNA from 1 species